rnacentral:rRNA from 1 species
GACGAACGCUGGCGGCGCGCUUAACACAUGCAAGUCGAGCGGUAAGGCCCUUUCGGGGGUACGACGAGCGGCGAACGGGUGAGUAACACGUGGGUGACCUGCCCUUAGCUCUGGGAUAAGCCUGGGAAACUGGGUCUAAUACCGGAUAUGACUCCAUGACGCAUGUUGUGGGGUGGAAAGCCUUGUGCGGCUAGGGAUGGGCCCGCGGCCUAUCAGCUUGUUGGUGGGGUGAUGGCCUACCAAGGCGACGACGGGUAGCCGGCCUGAGAGGGCGACCGGCCACACUGGGACUGAGACACGGCCCAGACUCCUACGGGAGGCAGCAGUGGGGAAUCUUGCGCAAUGGGCGAAAGCCUGACGCAGCGACGCCGCGUGAGGGAUGAC